ACAAGAGUCAGACUCCAUCCAAACUUCUACAGUGGAUGGAUCACAGACGAACUCCUACAACGGAUGGGCUCCAUCAGUCGGAUCUCUACUCCAAACCUCUUUCGGACUUCAUCAAUGAUCGAGCUUCUCCAGCAGCGGGACUUCUACAAUAAGAAGCCACCAUCCGAGCUUCCAUAAGAGCCGGACUCCAUCCGAACUUCUAUGAUAGAGUUAAAUUCCGAACUCCUCCAAUAUUCGACCUUCUCCAGUA
rnacentral:lncRNA from 1 species